GGUACAAUGUGUGAAGCCUAUUUCAGGUGUCCCCCGCUGUGUUGUUGCUGGAAUAUUGCUAAAAGCGGCGUAAAACUAAAACUCAGUCAGUCAGUCAGUCUUUGUAAAGUACAGAUUGGUGAUUGACAUAUCUUGGAUCAGAUGCAGGUCUUGAUUGGUAGCAUCAUGGAUUUUCAUGUCGAUUUUUGUCCAUGUUAUUGAUUGAGUACACUUUAUAAAUUGGAGUGAUGAAAGUAGUCCUACUUAAAUCUGUUCAUACCAUGUUGUUCUCCUACAUGCUGGCUGGCCUCACUGGAACAGUGUAUGUUUUAUCUGUGCUGACUAAGGUCAAUUGUGAUUCUCUACAACAUUGUGAUCCAUUAAUGUGCUUCAGUCAUUGUUAUUAUGUAAUGUCAUUACAUUUCCUGUGAUACAAUUUGUAUAGUGAUAUUUCUAUUGACUGUAAUUAUGUAUCAUGUUUAUGUAUAUCUUUGUGACAGAAAUGAUUAAAUCAAAUGAUUUUUU